rnacentral:rRNA from 1 species
GGGUUGUGAGGUUAAGCGACUAAGCGUACACGGUGGAUGCCCUGGCAGUCAGAGGCGAUGAAGGACGUGCUAAUCUGCGAUAAGCGUCGGUAAGGUGAUAUGAACCGUUAUAACCGGCGAUUUCCGAAUGGGGAAACCCAGUGUGAUUCGUCACACUAUCAUUAACUGAAUCCAUAGGUUAAUGAGGCGAACCGGGGGAACUGAAACAUCUAAGUACCCCGAGGAAAAGAAAUCAACCGAGAUUCCCCCAGUAGCGGCGAGCGAACGGGGAGCAGCCCAGAGCCUGAAUCAGUGUGUGUGUUAGUGGAAGCGUCUGGAAAGGCGCGCGAUACAGGGUGACAGCCCCGUACACAAAAAUGCACAUACUGUGAGCUCGAUGAGUAGGGCGGGACACGUGGUAUCCUGUCUGAAUAUGGGGGGACCAUCCUCCAAGGCUAAAUACUCCUGACUGACCGAUAGUGAACCAGUACCGUGAGGGAAAGGCGAAAAGAACCCCGGCGAGGGGAGUGAAAAAGAACCUGAAACCGUGUACGUACAAGCAGUGGGAGCACGCUUAGGCGUGUGACUGCGUACCUUUUGUAUAAUGGGUCAGCGACUUAUAUUCUGUAGCAAGGUUAACCGAAUAGGGGAGCCGAAGGGAAACCGAGUCUUAACUGGGCGUUAAGUUGCAGGGUAUAGACCCGAAACCCGGUGAUCUAGCCAUGGGCAGGUUGAAGGUUGGGUAACACUAACUGGAGGACCGAACCGACUAAUGUUGAAAAAUUAGCGGAUGACUUGUGGCUGGGGGUGAAAGGCCAAUCAAACCGGGAGAUAGCUGGUUCUCCCCGAAAGCUAUUUAGGUAGCGCCUCGUGAAUUCAUCUCCGGGGGUAGAGCACUGUUUCGGCAAGGGGGUCAUCCCGACUUACCAACCCGAUGCAAACUGCGAAUACCGGAGAAUGUUAUCACGGGAGACACACGGCGGGUGCUAACGUCCGUCGUGAAGAGGGAAACAACCCAGACCGCCAGCUAAGGUCCCAAAGUCAUGGUUAAGUGGGAAACGAUGUGGGAAGGCCCAGACAGCCAGGAUGUUGGCUUAGAAGCAGCCAUCAUUUAAAGAAAGCGUAAUAGCUCACUGGUCGAGUCGGCCUGCGCGGAAGAUGUAACGGGGCUAAACCAUGCACCGAAGCUGCGGCAGCGACACUAUGUGUUGUUGGGUAGGGGAGCGUUCUGUAAGCCUGUGAAGGUGUACUGUGAGGUAUGCUGGAGGUAUCAGAAGUGCGAAUGCUGACAUAAGUAACGAUAAAGCGGGUGAAAAGCCCGCUCGCCGGAAGACCAAGGGUUCCUGUCCAACGUUAAUCGGGGCAGGGUGAGUCGACCCCUAAGGCGAGGCCGAAAGGCGUAGUCGAUGGGAAACAGGUUAAUAUUCCUGUACUUGGUGUUACUGCGAAGGGGGGACGGAGAAGGCUAUGUUGGCCGGGCGACGGUUGUCCCGGUUUAAGCGUGUAGGCUGGUUUUCCAGGCAAAUCCGGAAAAUCAAGGCUGAGGCGUGAUGACGAGGCACUACGGUGCUGAAGCAACAAAUGCCCUGCUUCCAGGAAAAGCCUCUAAGCAUCAGGUAACAUCAAAUCGUACCCCAAACCGACACAGGUGGUCAGGUAGAGAAUACCAAGGCGCUUGAGAGAACUCGGGUGAAGGAACUAGGCAAAAUGGUGCCGUAACUUCGGGAGAAGGCACGCUGAUAUGUAGGUGAAGUCCCUCGCGGAUGGAGCUGAAAUCAGUCGAAGAUACCAGCUGGCUGCAACUGUUUAUUAAAAACACAGCACUGUGCAAACACGAAAGUGGACGUAUACGGUGUGACGCCUGCCCGGUGCCGGAAGGUUAAUUGAUGGGGUUAGCGCAAGCGAAGCUCUUGAUCGAAGCCCCGGUAAACGGCGGCCGUAACUAUAACGGUCCUAAGGUAGCGAAAUUCCUUGUCGGGUAAGUUCCGACCUGCACGAAUGGCGUAAUGAUGGCCAGGCUGUCUCCACCCGAGACUCAGUGAAAUUGAACUCGCUGUGAAGAUGCAGUGUACCCGCGGCAAGACGGAAAGACCCCGUGAACCUUUACUAUAGCUUGACACUGAACAUUGAGCCUUGAUGUGUAGGAUAGGUGGGAGGCUUUGAAGUGUGGACGCCAGUCUGCAUGGAGCCGACCUUGAAAUACCACCCUUUAAUGUUU